rnacentral:rRNA from 1 species
AGAGUUUGAUCAUGGCUCAGAUUGAACGCUGGCGGAAUGCUUUACACAUGCAAGUCGAGCGGCAGCGCGGGGCAACCUGGCGGCGAGCGGCGAACGGGUGAGUAACACAUCGGAACGUAUCCAGUCGUGGGGGAUAGCCCGGCGAAAGCCGGAUUAAUACCGCAUACGACCUGAGGGUGAAAGUGGGGGAUCGCAAGACCUCACGCGAAUGGAGCGGCCGAUGUCCGAUUAGCUAGUUGGUGAGGUAAAGGCUCACCAAGGCGACGAUCGGUAGCUGGUCUGAGAGGAUGAUCAGCCACACUGGGACUGAGACACGGCCCAGACUCCUACGGGAGGCAGCAGUGGGGAAUUUUGGACAAUGGGGGAAACCCUGAUCCAGCCAUUCCGCGUGAGUGAAGAAGGCCUUCGGGUUGUAAAGCUCUUUCGGCAGGAACGAAACGGUUACGGCGAAUACCCGUGACCACUGACGGUACCUGAAGAAGAAGCACCGGCUAACUACGUGCCAGCAGCCGCGGUAAUACGUAGGGUGCGAGCGUUAAUCGGAAUUACUGGGCGUAAAGCGUGCGCAGGCGGUUAUGCAAGCCAGACGUGAAAGCCCCGGGCUUAACCUGGGAAUAGCGUUUGGGACUGCAUGGCUAGAGUACGUCAGAGGGGGGUGGAAUUCCACGUAGCAGUGAAAUGCGUAGAGAUGUGGAGGAACACCGAUGGCGAAGGCAGCCCCCUGGGAUGAUACUGACGCUCAGGCACGAAAGCGUGGGGAGCAAACAGGAUUAGAUACCCUAGUAGUCC